rnacentral:rRNA from 1 species
CUACGGGGCGCUGCAGGCGAGAAAACUUUGCAAUGUGCGAAAGCACGACAAGGUUAAUCCGAGUGGUUUCUGCUAAAGGAACCUUUUGUCGGUCCUAGAAACACCGAUGAAUAAGGGGUGGGCAAGUUCUGGUGUCAGCCGCCGCGGUAAAACCAGCACCUCAAGUGGUCAGGAUGAUUAUUGGGCCUAAAGCAUCCGUAGCCGGCUCUGUAAGUUUUCGGUUAAAUCUGUAUGCUCAACAUACAGGCUGCCGGGAAUACUGCAUAGCUAGGGAGUGGGAGAGGUAGACGGUACUCGGUAGGAAGGGGUAAAAUCCUUUGAUCUAUUGAUGACCACCUGUGGCGAAGGCGGUCUACCAGAACACGUCCGACGGUGAGGGAUGAAAGCUGGGGGAGCAAACCGGAUUAGAUACCCUUGUAGUC